rnacentral:tRNA from 1 species
AAAGCGUAAAUAACUGGUUUCGGCCCAAUACAAGGCAUUAAAUUGCCCGCUUUU